UACGGGGGGGGCAAGCGUUGUUCGGAAUUACUGGGCGUAAAGGGCUCGUAGGCGGCCAACUAAGUCGGAUGUGAAAUCCCCAGGCUCAACCUGGGAACUGCAUCCGAUACUGGAUGGCUUGAAUUCGGGAGAGGGAUGCAGAAUUCCAGGUGUAGCGGUGAAAUGCGUAGAUACCUGGAGGAAUACCGGUGGCGAAGGCGGCAUCCUGGACCGACAUUGACGCUGAGGAGCGAAAGCGUGGGGAGCGAACAGG
rnacentral:rRNA from 1 species